GAUGAACGCUGGCGGCGUGCCUAAUACAUGCAAGUCGAGCGAACAGACGAGGAGCUUGCUCCUCUGACGUUAGCGGCGGACGGGUGAGUAACACGUGGAUAACCUACCUAUAAGACUGGGAUAACUUCGGGAAACCGGAGCUAAUACCGGAUAAUAUAUUGAACCGCAUGGUUCAAUAGUGAAAGACGGUUUUGCUGUCACUUAUAGAUGGAUCCGCGCCGCAUUAGCUAGUUGGUAAGGUAACGGCUUACCAAGGCGACGAUGCGUAGCCGACCUGAGAGGGUGAUCGGCCACACUGGAACUGGGACACGGUCCAGACUCCUACGGGAGGCAGCAGUAGGGAAUCUUCCGCAAUGGGCGAAAGCCUGACGGAGCAACGCCGCGUGAGUGAUGAAGGUCUUCGGAUCGUAAAACUCUGUUAUUAGGGAAGAACAAAUGUGUAAGUAACUAUGCACGUCUUGACGGUACCUAAGCAGAAAGCCACGGCUAACUACGU
rnacentral:rRNA from 1 species